rnacentral:rRNA from 1 species
AUGAACGCUGGCGGCGUGCCUAAUACAUGCAAGUCGAGCGAACGGACGAGAAGCUUGCUUUUCUGAUGUUAGCGGCGGACGGGUGAGUAACACGUGGAUAACCUACCUAUAAGACUGGGAUAACUUCGGGAAACCGGAGCUAAUACCGGAUAAUAUUUUGAACCGCAUGGUUCAAAAGUGAAAGACGGUCUUGCUGUCACUUAUAGAUGGAUCCGCGCUGCAUUAGCUAGUUGGUAAGGUAACGGCUUACCAAGGCAACGAUGCAUAGCCGACCUGAGAGGGUGAUCGGCCACACUGGAACUGAGACACGGUCCAGACUCCUACGGGAGGCAGCAGUAGGGAAUCUUCCGCAAUGGGCGAAAGCCUGACGGAGCAGCGCCGCGUGAGUGAUGAAGGUCUUCGGAUCGUAAAACUCUGUUAUUAGGGAAGAACAUAUGUGUAAGUAACUGUGCACAUCUUGACGGUACCUAAUCAGAAAGCCACGGCUAACUACGUG